rnacentral:rRNA from 1 species
GACGAACGCUGGCGGCGUGCUUAACACAUGCAAGUCGAGCGGUAAGGCCCUUUCGGGAGUACACGAGCGGCGAACGGGUGAGUAACACGUGGGUGACCUGCCCUCAGCUCUGGGAUAAGCCUGGGAAACCGGGUCUAAUACCGGAUAUGACUCCAUGACGCAUGUUGUGGGGUGGAAAGCCUUGUGCGGCUGAGGAUGGGCCCGCGGCCUAUCAGCUUGUUGGUGGGGUGANGGCCUACCAAGGCGACGACGGGUAGCCGGCCUGAGAGGGCGACCGGCCACACUGGGACUGAGACACGGCCCAGACUCCUACGGGAGGCAGCAGU